AUAUAUUAUUUAUUUUUAUUUUUUUUUUUUAUAAGUUUCGUUUGGACCUGUUCCUUUGUACGAAGACUGUAUCCCUGUAUAUAAUAUAAUAUAUAUAAUAUGUUAUGAUUAUGUUAGUUGUUAUUUAUUAUAUAUAUAUUUUCCUUAUCUCUCUCUUUUUUUUUGUUUGUUUUUUUUUAUUAGUACCUAACAUUGCUAUUAUGAUGCUGUAUUACAUUGCAUUGGCUAUUAUUUGUAUGUGCGACGAAUUUUUCAACAUGGCCGCUCGCGUGUCUCUUUGGUAUGGCGUUGGUUUAAUGUCAACAGUAACGUGUUGUUGAAAUAGCUAAUUAAUUGUUAAUCAUUAUAAUUUUAUUUAGUAGUGUUUUUGUAAUAUUGUUUUGUAUUUCAUGAUAUUGUCUGUGUCAAUACCGUGUGCUACUUUAAUGUGAUAGCAUGGAUUGUAUUGUCACCGAAUUUCAAUAGUCAUUGUUUUGAUUAUACGUGACUUGCAUUUAUAUUCUGCUCUUUCGAUGCUGCGUCACUUACCUGGAUCGUUCCCACAACAUCAUCCGAUUCUUUGAUAUGCCUUGGAUACUUACUACGGCUGCCUUCAAUCGUCUUAUAUCUGUGGUCAUAAAGCUGGCUGUUGUACAUGGUGUUCCGCAAACAGGGAGCCAUAACCUAUUUUGCACGUAAACCUUCUCGUAUGAUGAUUACUUGUUCACAAGGUGUUCACUAUCUGUAUUAUUCGACGAACAGUGUCACACCUCCUUUUGAUUUAUCCACAAUAUAGUUAUAACAUUUAGUAACCUUGUAUUUUGCACUGAGACGAUUGAAACUAAUUUAUUCACUUAUUUUAGGUAGCUGUCGUACAUUAUGUACCACGAACAACGAUCCAUAACCUAUACUUGCACGUACACUUUCUUGUAUGUUGAUCACUUGUUCACAAGCGUACGUGUUCACGAUUCUCGGCAAAACCGAAUAUGGCAGCAGGAAAUCAACCAAUCACAAUGUUUAUUCGACCAAUCGCGGGGAGACGUAGUCGCUAGGAGAGACGUCAACGGGAGUCGUAAAUUCCCGUUACGAUUAUAACAAUCGACACCACGACUUGAUUUCCGGUGAGAUAAUAGGGGUGAUUGAGUUUGUAUAACACUGUGAUUCACAGAAUUAUAAAUUAUAUAUUUCCAACACUUAGAUUACACUGACGAGCAUAGAUAGAGAGAUAAUCACUUAUCGCACGAAGAUAAGAUAGAUAUGUACGUUAGAGCAGGGCUCUUGUAAUUGGAUUCAAUGUAUUAGUGGACGUAGCACUAUAAGAUAUUUAGGAGAGGAAAUGUAGGCUCGACAAUACCGAGACCGACUCUCGCGUUAUGCUUAGACUGCACGAUGGGCAUUAGCGGUAGACUUAGUAGUUGACUUUUCCAACGAUGUAGAAGAAGUGAAGUUGAGUGACGAUGCUGUGUCGGAGGAAAGCUAAGGGUGGGUGUGUCUAGCGCACGGGACCAUCGGAUUUGUUGGUGACGAUUUUAGUUAGAAGAGUGAGGGAAAUAGUCUUCGUUUUUAAUUGGUUAAACGAAGGGUCUUAACCGCCCUCGAGAGAAAGUGGUUAGUGGGAGGAAAGUUGCAGCAUACGUGAGAAAAACUAACUUUCCCUUGUCACGCCGUGGUAGACAAGAGUCUUUAGAAAUUCUUCGGAAACAAACGUUUGUUUGGUUUGAAGGGCCUCUACUAGGAAAUUCCUGAGAUUUAUGGAAGAUACUUAAGGCUAUUGAGGGUACGCCGUACGGAAGAGCGGACAUCUGGUGUCCGUCUGGCCCGCGGUGUGUGACCUGGGCCAGGCAGAGGGUCGCCCGGCGUAACACACAACUUCGAAAGAA